GGUUGAUAUAUGAAGUGGAUACAUGAACAUCUGUUUAAAAGUUCAACAUAUCAUCAAAACCAUAAUGAAAGCAACAAUAGGAGAGACUACAUCCAUAUAACCCAAUUAGCAAACCACUAGAACCCACGAGAAUUUAGAUUAUUGCAGAUUAAAAAAGUUUUAUUAAAAAAGAAAAUUGGUGUUGGUUGAACUACGUUCCUUGUGGACAAAAUUCGUUUGGGGAUGAUUGUGAACAAAAUUUGCUUAAUGUUCUAGGCAAAAAUGAAUUACACUAUGGAUGUCUUUGAUUGUGGAAUGACUGCCCCCAAUGUCAAGGACCCUGAUCGAACUUUCAUGUUUGAUGCUGGAAGAUGUCAUCUUAAUCAACUAUACUACUUCUCUCUUUUCUUUAAGGAUUAAUCAUUUUCAUUAAUUAUUCCAUCUACUUGAUUUCAUUUUCCUUCCAUCUUUUUGAGAAGGUAUUUUUUCUUUCCAUUUUAUGAAAGGUCUUUUUUCUUUAAUUUUUUUUUUUUUUUUGGUAUUAUUGUAGGCAUACAGCUUUGUACAAUUGGCAGAGUCGUAGUAUGCUGAAAGCCAAGGAAUGGAUAUUAAGGGCCAUCCAAAGGUUCUAAAUACAAGAAAGUGAGUUAACCUGUCUUUCUACAUUCAUAAAAUCUUCAAUUAUAGUUCUUACGAAGAUGGUUAUUGAUUUGAAAACGUUACCAUUAUUUUUGCAGCUCGGGAUGAUGUUAUUGCCCUUAGUUCACUUUUCAAACUCUUACAAGUUGAUUUUUCAAAAAAUGUAAGAAAAUCAGGGAUGAUAAUGGGGCAGAGCAAACUCCAAAUGGUGUAAGGUAGUUUUGCUUCUAAUAAGACCUGGAGGAACUGCAGACACUUAGAUAUGGAGAAGGGAAUUUGCACUGGUACUGUUUGUGCACAUUCCAGCGCGCAGAUGUCUGGACUUUUGAAGUCCCUGAAGACAGUAAUGGUGAUUCCUGGCCAAAUGUAUGCAACUGCCUUCUUUUGUCUAAAAUUUCAAAUACGAAGUGAUGUGGUAUAAUUGACAGUUCCCAUUGUUAAUAGCAUAUGUCCAACCAUUAUUUUCAUAAGCUUUUUGAUAAUGUAAUUUCAAAUGUUUGGUGGUUUGACGUUGCCGACAGUUCUAAUAGGUAGUAAUGUGACGCUUCUAAAUUGUACUUUGAUUACAUCAUUGUGUAGCAAUCGGA